UGGGGAAUUUUGGACAAUGGGCGAAAGCCUGAUCCAGCAAUGCCGCGUGUGUGAAGAAGGCCUUCGGGUUGUAAAGCACUUUUGUCCGGAAAGAAAUCCUUGGCUCUAAUACAGUCGGGGGAUGACGGUACCGGAAGAAUAAGCACCGGCUAACUACGUGCCAGCAGCCGCGGUAAUACGUAGGGUGCAAGCGUUAAUCGGAAUUACUGGGCGUAAAGCGUGCGCAGGCGGUUUGCUAAGACCGAUGUGAAAUCCCCGGGCUCAACCUGGGGACUGCAUUGGUGACUGGCAGGCUAGAGUAUGGCAGAGGGGGGUAGGAUUCCACGUGUAGCAGUGAAAUGCGUAGAGAUGUGGAGGAAUACCGAUGGCGAAGGCAGCCCCCUGGGCCAAUACUGACGCUCAUGCACGAAAGCGUGGGGAGCAAACAGGAUUAGAUACCCUGGUAGUCCACGCCCUAAACGAUGUCAACUGGUUGUUGGGAAGUUCCUUCUCAGUAACGUAGCUAACGCGUGAAGUUGACCGCCUGGGGAGUACGGCCGCAAGGUUGAAACUUAAAGGAAUUGACGGGGUCAUAGCUGUUUCCU
rnacentral:rRNA from 1 species